AGAGUUGAUCAUGGCUCAGAACGAACGCUGGCGGCGCGUCUUAAGCAUGCAAGUCGAACGGCAAGAGGUAGCAAUACCUCCUAGAGUGGUGGACUGGUGAGUAACACGUGGGUGACAUACCCUUCAGAUGGGGAUAGCUAUUAGAAAUAGUAGAUAAUACCGAAUACGAGCACAGGGGUUAGAGAUCUGUGAGGAAAGGAGCUAAGGCUCCGCUGAAGGAAUGGCCUGCGGCCCAUUAGCUAGUUGGUGAGGUAAGAGCCCACCAAGGCGAUGAUGGGUAUCCGGCCUUAGAGGGUGAACGGACACAUUGGGACUGAGAUACGGCCCAGACUCCUACGGGAGGCAGCAGCUAAGAAUAUUCCGCAAUGGACGAAAGUCUGACGGAGCGACGCCGCGUGGAUGAAGAAGGCCGGAAGGUUGUAAAAUCCUUUUGAAACUGAAGAAUAAGCGUUGUAGGGAAUGACAGCGUGGUGACAGUAGGUUUUGAAUAAGCAACGGCUAAUUACGUGCCAGCCGCCGC
rnacentral:rRNA from 1 species